rnacentral:piRNA from 1 species
UGCCCAAGCCGUAACUGAGUGAGUGU